rnacentral:rRNA from 1 species
CAAUAGCGUAUAUUAAAGUUGUUGCAGUUAAAAAGCUCGUAGUUGGAUUUCUGGUAGGAGCGACCGUGCCGAACUUGAUUGUUCGAGUAUUGUGUUGUCUUCAGCCAUCCUCGUGGAGAACUUUUCUAACAUUAACUUGUUGGGAUUGGGACCCGCGUCGUUUACUGUGAAAAAAUUAGAGUGUUUAAGGCAGGCAUUAGCUUGAAUACAUUAGCAUGGAAUAAUAAGAUAGGACUUUGGUACUAUUUUGUUGGUUUGCAUACCAAAUUAAUGAUCAACAGGAACAGUUUGAGGAUAUUCGUAUGAACAUGUCAGAGGUGAAAUUCUUGGAUUUUGAUCAGACGAACUACUGCGAAAGCAUUUAUCAAGGAUGUUUUCAUUAA